UACAGAGGUCUCGAGCGUUCAACGGAUUCAUUGGGCUUAAAGCGUACGUAGGCGGGUGUGCAGGCGUCGUGUGAAAGCCCUCGGCUCAACCGAGGAAUUGCACGGCGAACCGCACAUCUUGAGACAAGUAGGGGCGGUCGGAACGAUAGGUGGAGUGGUGAAAUGCGUUGAUAUCUAUCGGAACGCCGAUGGUGAAGACAGGCCGCUGGGCUUGUUCUGACGCUGAGGUACGAAAGCAUGGGUAGCGAACGGG
rnacentral:rRNA from 1 species